CUAGGCCUGCAGGGACAGCAAGAGUUCCCCCUACACACAAAUAACCCCGUAUGGCCCCUGCACUGCCAGUAAGUCACAGCCCAGCCCAGCCCAGCCCAGCAACCACCAUUUGGUCCAGAACCUUAUUUUAGGCUCUGGGAAUGGGCUAGGGGAGUGGGGGUGGGCACAGCGGAGCCACACACACCUCCGGCUUUUCAGGAGGGGCCUCAGGGCCUGGGGAGCUAGAGUCUCAGCCAAAAUCUCAGAGGAGUCAAGGAAGCGCUAGAGCCGGAAACACAGGAGAGACCGAGGCUAGCCAAGGAGAGAUGGAAAAACUGACCAGAGACAUGGAAGGCUUUGCAAAGAAAAUUUAUUUGUGGUAGGCUACAAGAAAGGCAAGGGGUUCACAGCAAAGGAAGAGACCUCUCCGAGAGCUUGCCCUAGUACUGGAGGACCUGUGGGCCGUGGAAGGGUCCUGGUGAUUCAAGCUGCCGGAGCGCCGUCUCUGCUCUCCUACUUCUGCUUCUCCACCCUCAGCCUUCCCAGAGCCCUGAACCAGGCCAGCCUCUGGCAAACACUGGAGCAGCCCUCAGGAGCAGCCUCAUCUUCCUGCCAAGGACCCCAAGGAACAGCCAAUCCUAUGGGAAUGCAGACGACCAGCAGCCACGUGCUCCUUUUGUAUGAAGCUCUGGAACCCUGUAAAGCCCUACUCUUACCCCACUGUCCAGGCCAGGGCUGGGCACAACCCAGGGGAUGCCAUUGCGUGGAAGUGGGGGAGAAGCCCAGCUAAAAGACUAUUUGAGGGGUUAAUGUUUCCAUAUGUGGGUGCUGGCAAGCAGAGUCUGCAGUUUCAGGGACAGGCUGUAAGGAUCUCUUUGGGGCCAGAGUACAGAUUUCAGAGUCAAAGAGACUUGGUUUUGAUCUCAGUUCUGGCACUAACUUAGCUGUGUGACUUAGGACAUAUAACAACUUUUCUGGGCCUGUGUCUUUGCCUGCAGAAUUGGUUCACCAGUGACACCCACAUCCCAUCAAAUUAUGAGUCACUGCAGUAAGGCUGUGACCUGGCACCUGACUGCCCUCUGUACUUGGUCACUGUUAAUGCUUUUAUCUCCCCAGUCCACUGGCCCCACAAUCAAUCUGAAGUGGCUGUAGUGCCCAGGCCUCAGGGACCAGGUUUCCCAGGCCCCUCUAGAUAGCCCCAUUUUGCCUCUUGACCUGCCCCUGCCCCUGUUGCCUCCCAGGCCACUGAGGCCCAACUGAGAGCUCUGCAGGCUGCUGCAGCCCCCAACCUAAGGCAGGUGUAGCCUGAUCCAGUGCCCCUGGGAUGGGGGGCGGGUGCAGCGUUACCUCCCAGAGGCACUUUCCAGGCCAUUUACUCUUUCAGGGAUGAAGUAGGGGUGGGCACCCGCACCUCUUCUGCUCUGUGAUGUCUUUCUCUCCGGACACAUGCCACUUAUGCAAAUAGCGCCAUUCCCGGCCUGGCCCCCACCCCCUAGCAUGGUGAUACUUUUGGGCUGUGGCCAGAUGGGGGCACUCCCCAGUUCACAUGUCCAACACCUGGCAUGACUCCAGGGCCUCCAAAGGUGCCUCCUAGACCCCAAACAAGCAGGUCCUCAGGGCAGAGGGGGAACAUCUGCCAGGAAGGAAACCAGAAGCCAAGGCCUACCCACCAUCUACCACCCACCUCCCCUGUCCCUAGCCAAGCUCCUGACUCUGCCCCUCACUUCAACAAACCCAUCAACCUCUUUCGAUUUGGUGACACUGGAAUAACGACACCCAUGUAAGCAAGAUCCAGAGACGGUAAGCCUGGCACUUAGUAGGCUUUCGAUUAACACUGGCAGCCAUGAUGGCAUGUAAUUAUUAGGCCCCAAAAUGGCCCAUGGCUGAAGCCACCAGUGACUGUGGGAUACUUUCUCGUGCAACACCACCACCACCCUCUUGAACCCAUACCAACUUAGUUGACAGAAGUUAAGCCUAUUAUAUUGAACAACCAACCCCUUUAUAUUUUUUCAAUAAAAAUAUCUUAGGAGCACAAAAACAUAACAGUAUAGAAGAGUGCAUUCCCCCACCUCCACUCCCCAGAGGCAGCCUUCCAGUAUAUAUUUCCAGAAACGAUCCAUAUAUAAACAUACUUGUAACUAACUUUUAAACAUCUACAAAUAAGAUCAUACUCCACGGCCUGUUCUGUAAUUUAUUCUAUUCGCCUUAUCAUGUGAACUGGCCAACCUUCCACAUCAACUUAUAUAUGGAGAUCUACCACACUGAUUUUUACAGCUGCAUGGUAUUCCACAGUAUGAACGAACCAUAGGUUCCUGUCCAUUUCUUUACACUCUUAAAAAGAGAUGCUCUGGCUGGGUGUGGUGGCUCACACCUGUAAUCCCAGCACUUUGGAAAGCCAAGGCAGGUGGAUCACCUGAGGCCAGGAGUUCGAGACCAGUCUGAUCAACAUGGAGAAACUGUCUCUACUAAAAACACAAAAUUAGCCAAGCAUGUUGGUCCAUGCCUGUAAUCUCAGCUACUUGGGAGGCUGAGGCAGGAAAUUAACUUGAACCCGGGAGGCAGAGGUUGCGGUGAGCCGAGAUCGUGCCAUUGCGCUCUAGCCUAGGCAACAAGAGCGAAACUUGUCUCAAAAAAAAAAAAAAGAAAUGCUCCUCUGAUGAACGCCUUUGUACAUAAUUCUUUUACAAAUAUGCCCAAAAAUAGUGCCAUUUGUUUUU